rnacentral:tRNA from 1 species
AGGUCUGUGGUGUAAUUGGUAGCACUUGGGAUUUUGAUUCCUACAGUUCAAGUUCGAGUCUUGGCAGACCUGCCA